ACAACAAAUAUAUUACUUUCUUUUUACUCAAAUAAAUAAAUAUUUUUUAAUUGUGUUUAAAAAAAAUCUACACUCUUAUAGUUUUUCCGCUAUGCAAAACUUCACCACCUAUGUAAAAAAAAAUGGAAAACGGUCGAAUGUGUUAUCACCCACCCAAAGCAAAAGCAAAAGCAAAGGCAAAAGCAAAAAAAACGAAAGAAAAAGCAAAAAAAACGAAAGAAAAAGCAAAAAAAACGAAGGAAAAAGCAAAAAAAACGAAAGAAAAAGCAAAAAAAACGAAAGAAAAAAAAAAAAAAAAAAUAAAAUAACCCUUAACGGUGAGCUAAAAAGAUAUUAUUUGUUCGUAAAAACUACUAAUGUCGAAUUUUAUUUAUUUCCAAAAAAAAGACAAACUGGACUAUCUGAGCUAAUUGGGCGAACGGAACAAGUUAUCCCAAAUGACAAAAAUCACACAAUGGCAAUUUAUUUUUUAUACAAAGAUGUUAAAAAAAUGAUCUUAAAUUAUAAAUCACUUCCCACAGCAAUGGUAAAAAUACUUAACAAUUUUUAUAGUGAAAAAUGUUACAUACAUUUUUAUGUAAAUUGUUUACGAAAUAUUAUAUACUGUAUUUGUAAUAGUAACUACUACUUUUUUGAGCUAUUUUAUAAUUUUUUUAUUCCUUUCUUGCUUAAAAAAAAUAAACAAAAGAAUGAACAAGAACAAACAUCUCUUCAAAUAAAAGAACAAAAAAAAAAAAAAAUAAAUAAAAUAAUAAUAAUAAUAAUAAGUAAAAUGUUACAAAGUAUUGAUAAAUAUUUUUUUAACGAACUAAAAUAUCUUACAAAAAAUUAUAAUAACUUUCGAUUGAAAUGUCAUGGUAAUAGAAGCAAAUGUAUUAAAAUAAAAAAAAAAAAAAACAGCUUUUUUAAAAAGUGGAACUGUUUUUCCCUAAAACAUAUUUGCUAUAAUUGCGCAAUGAAAAAAAAUAAAAAAAUAAAAAUAAAUGAAAAUAGCAUUACUAAAUAUUUUCAUAUUUUUUCUAUGGAUAAAUAUAGUGCAGACACAAACUUAAACAUUCGAAUUGCUUAUGAAAAAAUGGCAAUCAAAAAAAUGAUCGCAACGGUUGUAACUAUCAUUCCAAAAAAAACAUUAAAAAACGUUGAUAAUAUAAACAGACAUUACUUUAUGUUUUAUAAAUGCAUAGUUAAUGUGAUUCACGAAUAUUCUUUGCAUGUACGUCGAAUGUUGCAAUGGUAUGGGUAUGGGUAUGCAGAUGCAAGUGAAAGCGUAGAAAGUGGAAAAUUUAUUUCUGCUCGCAAGGUUAACACUAGUGACAUUAGACCUAGCAGGGUUAGCACUACAAGUAUUAACCCUAAUGGUGCCAAUAGAAGCAAACGCAAUAGUAAUAACAACCUAUGUAUUAAUAAAAAUACCAUGAACAAUAGUAGUAACAAUACUAAUAAUUCCAAAAUAAUACAAAAUUACAAUAAAUUCAAUACUAUAAAACAUAGAAAUGUUAGUUAUUUUAAUUUAAACAUAAAACAAAG
rnacentral:lncRNA from 1 species